rnacentral:rRNA from 1 species
UUCGGAUGAAGGUCUGGUGACUGAGUGGCGGACGGGUGAGUAACGCGUGGGUAACCUGCCUCAUACAGGGGGAUAACAGUUAGAAAUGACUGCUAAUACCGCAUAAGCGCACGGUCUCGCAUGGGACAGUGUGAAAAAACUCCGGUGGUGUGAGAUGGACCCGCGUCUGAUUAGCUAGUUGGUGGGGUGACGGCCUACCAAGGCGACGAUCAGUAGCCGACCUGAGAGGGUGACCGGCCACAUUGGGGACUGAGACACGGCCCAAAACUCC